rnacentral:tRNA from 1 species
CCAUCGGGUGGUUCAGUGGUAGAAUGCUCGCCUGCCACGUGGGCGGCCCGGGUUCGAUUCCCGGCCGAUGUU